rnacentral:rRNA from 1 species
UGGGGAAUUUUGGACAAUGGGCGCAAGCCUGAUCCAGCAACGCCGCGUGAGGGAUGACGGCCUUCGGGUUGUAAACCUCUUUCGCCUGCGCCGACGCGAGAGUGACGGUAGCAGGUAAAGAAGCACCGGCCAACUACGUGCCAGCAGCCGCGGUAAUACGUAGGGUGCGAGCGUUGUCCGGAAUUAUUGGGCGUAAAGGGCUCGUAGGCGGGUUGUCGCGUCGGGAGUGAAAACACUGGGCUUAACUCAGUGCUUGCUUCCGAUACGGGCAGACUAGAGGUAUGCAGGGGAGAACGGAAUUCCUGGUGUAGCGGUGAAAUGCGCAGAUAUCAGGAGGAACACCGGUGGCGAAGGCGGUUCUCUGGGCAUUACCUGACGCUGAGGAGCGAAAGUGUGGGGAGCGAA